GAUGAACGCUGGCGGCGUGCCUAAUACAUGCAAGUCGAGCGAACAGACGAGGAGCUUGCUCCUCUGACGUUAGCGGCGGACGGGUGAGUAACACGUGGAUAACCUACCUAUAAGACUGGGAUAACUUCGGGAAACCGGAGCUAAUACCGGAUAAUAUAUUGAACCGCAUGGUUCAAUAGUGAAAGACGGUUUUGCUGUCACUUAUAGAUGGAUCCGCGCCGCAUUAGCUAGUUGGUAAGGUAACGGCUUACCAAGGCGACGAUGCGUAGCCGACCUGAGAGGGUGAUCGGCCACACUGGAACUGAGACUCGGUCCAGACUCCUACGAGAGGCAGCAGUAGGGAAUCUUCCGCAAUGGGCGAAAGCUUGACGGAGCAACGCCGCGUGAGUGAUGAAGGUCUUCGGAUCGUAAAACUCUGUUAUUAGGGAAGAACAAAUGUGUAAGUAACUAUGCACGUCUUGACGGUACCUAAUCAGAAAGCCACGGCUAACUACGUG
rnacentral:rRNA from 1 species